AACGUACGCUGGCGGCACGCCUAACACAUGCAAGUCGAACGAAGUAGCAAUACUUAGUGGCAGACGGGUGAGUAACAUGUAGGUAUCUGCCCUUUGGCCUGGAAUAACACGAGGAAACUUGUGCUAAUACCGGAUAAGUCUUUACGGAGAAAGCUUUAUGCACCAUUGGAUGAGCCUGCACUUGAUUAGUUUGUUGGUGGGGUAAUGGCCUACCAAGACUGUGAUCAAUAGCUGAUUUGAGAGGAUGAUCAGCCACAUUGGGACUGAGACACGGCCCAAACUCCUACGGGAGGCAGCAGUGGGGAAUCUUGCACAAUGGAGGAAACUCUGAUGCAGCGAUGCCGCGUGAGUGAAGAAGGCCCUUGGGUUGUAAAGCUCUUUCGUCGGGGAAGAAAAUGACUGUACCCGAAUAAGAAGGUCCGGCUAACUUCGUGCCAGCAGCCGCGGUAAUACGAAGGGACCUAGCGUAGUUCGGAAUUACUGGGCUUAAAGAGUUCGUAGGUGGUUGAAAAAGUUAGUGGUGAAAUCCCAGAGCUUAACUCUGGAACUGCCAUUAAAACUUUUCAGCUAGAGUAUGAUAGAGGAAAGCAGAAUUUCUAGUGUAGAGGUGAAAUUCGUAGAUAUUAGAAAGAAUACCAAUUGCGAAGGCAGCUUUCUGGAUCAUUACUGACACUGAGGAACGAAAGCAUGGGUAGCGAAGAGGAUUAGAUACCCUCGUAGUCCAUGCCGUAAACGAUGUGUGUUAGACGUUGGAAAUUUAUUUUCAGUGUCGCAGGGAAACCGAUAAACACACCGCCUGGGGAGUACGACCGCAAGGUUAAAACUCAAAUGAAUUGACGGGGACCCGCACAAGUAGUGGAGCAUGUGGUUUAAUUCGAAGAUACGCGCAGAACCUUACCAACACUUGACAUGUUCGUCGCGACUCUAAGAGAUUAGAGUUUUCGGUUCGGCCGGACGAAACACAGGUGCUGCAUGGCUGUCGUCAGCUCGUGUCGUGAGAUGUUGGGUUAAGUCCCGCAACGAGCGCAACCCUCACUUUUAGUUGCCAUCAUUAAGUUGGGCACUCUGAAAGAACUGCCAGUGAUAAGCUGGAGGAAGGUGGGGAUGACGUCAAGUCCUCAUGGCCCUUACGUGUUGGGCUACACACGUGCUACAAUGGUAUCUACAACAGGAAGCAAGACUGCGAAGUUAAGCAAAUCCCUAAAAGAUACCUCAGUUCGGAUUGCACUCUGCAACUCGAGUGCAUGAAAGCUGGAAUUACUAGUAAUCGUGGAUCAGCGUGCCACGGUGAAAUGCGCUCCCGGGUCU
rnacentral:rRNA from 1 species